rnacentral:rRNA from 1 species
CAGGUAGGUUGUGUAUCAAGACUUUUGUGAAAUCCCUGGGCUUAACCCAGGAAGUGCGGAGGUGACUGACACACUAGAGUGCUGGAGAGGUUCGUGGAAUACCCGGUGUAGCGGUGAGAUGCGUAGAUAUCGGGUGGAACACCAGAGGCGAAGGCGGCGAACUGGACAGCAACUGACACUAAACUGCGAAAGCGUGGGGAGCAAACAGGAUUAGAUACCCUGGUAGUCCACGCUGUAAACGAUGAGCACUAGAUGUGGUGGGUCUUGACCCCUGCCGUGUCGACGCUAACGCGCUAAGUGCUCCGCCUGGGGAGUACGGUCGCAAGACUAAA